CAAAAAGCGGCCCAGCUCCCCGGCACGGGCCCGCCGUCAGCACGUCACGUCACCGCCCGGGAGAGAGACCCAGGAAAAUGCGGAAGGGUAGAUAGGCCCCCUCCUCCGCCCGAAAGUUCCAUUGGGCUGUGAUGUAGACUGUAUUCACAGAAAGAGAAAGAUUAGUCCGAAAACAAGCUGUUAAAAACAAAAAGGAAGAAAAGAAAACGGAAGAAGAAGAAAAGAAAAGAAACUGUUGAUUUUUCACUCCACAUCACUGACUGAUGGAAAUCCAAAUAGGAAACAAUAAAUUAUUGGCUUAUGAGAAAA